CAGAGGGGGCGAGCGUUGUUCGGAAUUACUGGGCGUAAAGGGCGCGUAGGCGGCCUUCUAAGUCGAACGUGAAAUCCCCGGGCUCAACCCGGGAACUGCGUCCGAUACUGGGAGGCUUGAAUCCGGGAGAGGGAUGUGGAAUUCCAGGUGUAGCGGUGAAAUGCGUAGAUAUCUGGAGGAACACCGGUGGCGAAGGCGGCAUCCUGGACCGGUAUUGACGCUGAGGCGCGAAAGCCAGGGGAGCAAACGGGAUUAGAUACCCCGGUAGUCCUGGCCCUAAACGAUGAAUGCUUGGUGUGGCGGGUAUCGAUCCCUGCCGUGCCGAAGCUAACGCAUUAAGCAUUCCGCCUGGGGAGUACGGUCGCAAGGCUG
rnacentral:rRNA from 1 species